UGACGCACCAUGUAAAUUUGCCGUAUGUAUGGGCGUCGGCCAAAAAUCAAGGUCUAUCGAAUAUCGGCAAUGUAAAGCAUGUUCUUUCUGUCUGUGAUCUCGUUAGGAGUAAGAAGUGCGCGUCGUCUGUAGUUCAUAGCUAAAAGUACAAAACAAACACGUAUUACAAAAAUACAAAUAGUAGUACGGUGCGCGGUUCGAAAAAUAUAAGUACGAGUAAGAAAUUGUUACAAGAACAGAUAAAGUGUGAACCGAACU